UCUGCUCACUUCCUAGCAUGCGCUUGGAUCUGUUCUCCCUUCAGCACUUCAACACGACUAUUAGUCCUUAGGGGAUGUGCUGCCAAACAAGGUGACUAGCAUGCCUGCCGGGAAAGAUUAUCACAAGAUUUCAUUUCUUGGGUAUCCAGCUCUGUUUCCUGCAAAUCGCUUCAGCACUAAGGGAAAACAAGCCAACCAAAGAAGCUGCUUUAAAAACUAUGACAUCAAGCUGGCAACAGUGGCUCAUACCUAUAAUACCUUCACUUGGGAAGCUGAGGCAGGAGGACUGCUGUGAGUCUGUGACCAGCUUGGGCUACAAGUGAGACUGUCUCAAAAAACAAAAAACAAAAACAAAAACAAGCAAACAAUAACCAUGCUGCCAUGGUGUCAGGGGCUCUUGGAUUAUCAACUCUAUCAACUAACCAGUUUUUUAGAAUGACCAUGUGGUGAGGUGACUAGCAGAUGCCACAGAAAUGGCCACUGUCUAGCAUCCAGGGAGAGGUUUUGCAUGAUUUCCUUCAUGACUGUAUAUGCUUUUCUUCUUAAUCCUUUGGCCUUGCCUACUUACUAAAAGUGUUCAAUGGCAUGCAGAUGCCUUCUCUGCACUGUCUAUUCUCACUCGGUCCAGUUCCUCAUUUGAUGUUCUGGUCUUCUCCAGACACUAAUGUCAUAGAGUGCUGACAUAGGCAGGCUUCAUCUGUAGAAUAUACUUUUUCUAAUCUGAGUGUCUCUAAGGCCUUAACAGGAAAAGCUAUCCUCCCAAACUUUAGCAGAUGGGAGUCUUAGCAUAAAAAUCUUGUCAAAUAAUCUCAAAGAGAAUUACUUUGUCCUAAGUAUUAACAAAGAUACUCCUUCUACUGCCUACCCCAGCUAUCCUAUGAAAGGGGUCAUCAUAAUGUUUUAUUUAUGUUAUUAUUAACUCUAUUCUGUUCUAGUGGACAACAGAUUUAUACUGUGCUAAAAUGACUUUGGUUAAAUGCCUGUCCACAUGAUCACUCGCCAUUGUAGGCCCUGUAUCUGGGCUGGCCACAUCAUCCACAGUCACAGAGCUGGGUGAUGCUCUUCUGCAGGGUGGAACAUUAGGAGGGCACUAUACUCUUCUUUCUUCUCCCUUGUAGAACGUCAGGAAAGGCUUGGAUUUUCUUUAUACUUGGCUGAAUAAAGAGCUGGAGGGUUUCUCUGUGUCCUGAUAGGAUAAGAACUAUGUUCUUGGGCAAUUUAUACAGCUCUAGGUCCUUUGGCUGCCCUUAGAGAUGUGUGUGCAUCUUUCUUGCCAGGAGUUGGCUUCUGGAACUUCAGAAGCACUGGAAGGUGAAGGUCCUUUUAGGGAACAUACUCUUUUCGGGUCUGGUUGCUUUUGUUCUUUCUCCUAUCUCUUUAAAAUAGUAGCCCAGGAUGUUUUUAGGACUUCUCAUCCUGAUGCCACUGCCUCCUGAGUGACAGAAUUACAGGUAUGCACUGCCAUACCUGGUUUAUGGGGUUCAAACCCAUGGCUUUGUGCAUGCUCAACAAACACUCUACCAACUGAGCUAUAUCCCAACCUCCCCUUUGCUUUCUUUUUGAGGGUCCGCUUUUUCAAAUUGGCCAAACUACAAGCAUGGAUGAAGAGUACAGAAUGCACUGGUUAUCACCAACAGAGACUUGCAGGAGACCUUGCUAAGGAUUGCACACAUCCAAGUAGCCUGAAGUUCAACCCCCUACCUACAAGCUGAUAACAGAAAGAGAGGCUCACGGAAGAAAUGAGUGUGGUUAUCAGGGACGCCCUGCAGAGACAGCCCCUGGAAGUAACCAAAAUACUGAGUAGUCAUGACUAGCCACCAGGAGCAAACUGUCCGAUCCUGCUAGGCCAGUAAUCCCAAGGCAUCUUGCAUUUUUCAAAGGAACUUAAGCUGUAUGAGCUGGAAGAGCUGAGGAGAAGGAUGUACCUGAGUGCCCAAGAGGAAUCAGCCAGGAGCAUCACCUGACAUUGGUGAUUAACACCUGAGGGUCCCUAUGCUGCCCCUCUAACCUGCACCUGGGGCUGCUGGUUACACUGGAGGCUCAAAGACACACAGCAUCACAGGUCAUCAGCUCAUGACUGCUGUGCACGAUUGUGUAUGUACUGUCUAGUCAGGCCUGCAUCCGUGGCCCUGAGAUACCAUAAGGCCACACCAUGUCCACCAGGGUUGGAUGUUAGGCAUGGAGGUAACAGAGUUCUUCAAAGGUAGCUUGCAUUCUACCUGCAGUGACUCCCUCUGUGAUCAUGGCUGGGACAUUGAUUCCAGAUCAAUGUAGGGAGAGCACAGUGUGGCCAUGCCACAGCUAGGCAGGGACGCUAAGAUAGGUGCUGGGUAUCGGUGGCCAUGUGUGUGGCCAAGGGCUUGCAAGUUAAACGCUAAGGCAGUCCAAUGAUUUCUAAUACUGCCCAAUUUUUGAUUGUGUGUCCUGAUUCAAAUUCAUAGCUGAGGGACCUGUUAUAAGUGACUUCUGGGAGCCUGUCCCAGGAUAGCUCAUGUCCUCCCCAGGGUUUGCUCUGCUCCCUAAUGUGGGACAGGAAGGAAGUGAACCACCAUGGGUUCCUUGAUAUUUGGAAGGCAUUUGGGUUCAGUAGUUCUGACUACAGUGCCAGGAUUUCUAGCUGCCUGAUCUUGGCAAGCUCCUCCACCCAGCUGAGCACGGCACACGCCUUUAUCCCUUUUCUCUGCAUAGCACCUGACUGCCAAGAUUUUUUUUUUUUUUUUUUAAUAAACAGGAGAGGUGUCUGUAAAGUGCUUGCACACUGGUCUGGGUCUGGCUCUCUUGUAUUCUCUCAUGGCUCUCUGGGGUCUUUUUUCCCCCAGUAGGAGCAAUAGCUCAAGUAAUCUGGAGCAGAAGUUGAAGGUCCAGCCUGGAAGUGUUUGUAUGUUCCCAGAUCCCACAGAGGUCUUCUGUGGAAACGCAGACAUGAGCAGGGCAGCAUAGAGGUGACGUUCCAGAGUGGAGGUGGGGAGCACUCUGGAGUCAGGUCACACUAAUUCAGUGUACAGCCUUAGGGCAAGUCACUGAGUUGCACUGUACCUCAGUUUCCUUGUCUGUAAAACAGGUAUAAAGUUAAUCAACCCAUGUAUAAACAAUGCCUUCCAUUGCUGAGCACAUCCAUGAGUUCCAAUAAAUAUGUAUUGGCAAUAACCCUUGUCUCCAAAUGAGGAGCCAGGCUAGUGAGCCAUGUAGUAGGAUGGGGUGAUCCCCACAAUUGGCCACCACAGAUGAGAGAGAUCAGGGCAUGGAAGACUCAGAAGAGGCAUCCCUUGAAGGAUGGGAAAUAUUUACUGAUGUUAUUGAUUUAUUUUCAAGCACUAGGGUGGUCCCCAGGGCUUGGCACCCCCGCCCCUACCCUACCCUUCUUGCCUCCACCCCCAACCUCUGCAUCAAAAAACAAUUUAAUGAACUUCAGCUGAACUUCAGCCUGGUUGCGUGACAUACAUGAGACCUGCUCUUGAGAGGAGAGAGGAGGGGAGGGGAAGGGGGUAAAGGGAAGGAAGUAGAGCAGAGUUGAGAGGAGGAGAGAAGAGGGGAAGGGGGGAGGGGAAGGGGAAAAAAGAAGAGGCGAGGGAGGAGGAAAGGAAACCAAAAAGCCUGCACCAAGCCUCUGAGCCAGUGGCAUGGGCCUGUCUGUAAAGUUAGGAGUCUGUUUGCAAUCCCCAGACAGCCCCAGCCUUCUUCUCCCUACCUGUCCUAUCCUGCUUGGGUGGGGGUCCAGGAAGCAUUGUGGCCUGCCAGCUCUAGGCACCUCAGACAGGUUGCGGGAGGGAGCAUGGAAGAAUUCUCUUGGCUGUAGGAAAAUAGUAGACAACCCUUUCCCAUGAGCACAAGAUGUAGGUUGGUCACAAGGUGAUGUUGGGUCCUAGUGGUGUUGGUCACAGGCUUCCCCUCUGUGAGGCUCAAUGGCCUCACAGAGCUUUGCUUACUUGGAGGCCUACUCUCCAAAGAGCUGCCGUAGAAGAGAGCACCUUCAGCUGCCUCUCCCUCCACUGGUGGUGUGCUGCCUGGACCAGUGGGACAGGGAGCUGUGUGUGCUAUUCCUCCUUUCUCCCCACACACCUGACUUUAGCCUUCCCAACUCACCAACUCUCCAUAGCCUCCUGCACUUGGCCUUGGCACUCUUGGUCCCAUGACUAGCAAUGCCCUUCCUGUUUCCUAGGCCACCUGUGGCUAAUUUUCCAAGAGCCCACUAGUGGUUACCUCCUCUUGUGCCUGUGUUUGUACCCACUCCACGAGAGCUCAUAUUACCUGGUCCUGACUAGGGGAUCUCCACAGUCUUGACAGUGUCACCAGUGGUGGUGGUUGGGGUGGGGGGUGGGGGGCUGGGGCUGUCUCACUUUCCUGCCUGAGCUGAUCUCAGACUUCUUGGCUUCUGUGAACCUGUCUCACAGAACCUGUCUCAGCUAGAAUGCCACACAAACCCGGCAGUCCAUUUUAAAGAUGAAGAAAGAAAGGCCUAAAGAGCUCAGUAAGUUGAUUGCUUUGAUAAUACAUUUGUAAUACUUGCUUUGUGCACACUGAAUUUCUGAAGCCUAUCAGACACUGAGAACAUGCCAAUGAGCAAGAUGGACAAGAGCUUCCGUUGUAUUGAGGAAGGAGGAGGAGGAAGAGGAGGAGAAGGUUAUUUGUCGGUUGUGGGAAGUAGAAUGGGAAGGCAUCAAGAUCGCUCUGGGAUGCUGCUGAGGCCCAGCACUGGUGUCAGCUCAUGAAGAUCAUGCUGAACCAUGCUGGGAGGGGUGAAGGAACAGCACUUCAUGCAGAGAACUGUUGGUCCUAGAGGCAAGAAGUGGAUGGACGUGUCCCAGGAAUCAAGAGGAGGCCUGAGUGAAAGAGGAUGAUGUCCCCCAAAGAAGCUGUGCAAUUUGGUUUUUGUUUACUUGCUAAGAAUGGGGAAUGGCGUUCCUAUAGGGCUGGAGCCUAGGUGGUAGAAUUGAUCAAGUUUUACUGUUUUGUUUUUGAAAGCUCAUGGACAUCUGUUGUAGCAUUGCAUUUUUGCUGUGUAAGCCCAUGCUACCUCCCCAAUUUCCAGUAAAUUCUGCUACAAACAUGAA